CACCUGUUUAGGAGAGGUGCUGGCUAGGGGAGGAGAACACCUGUUUAGGAGAGUAGAACACCUGUUUAGGAGAGGUGCUGGCUAGCAGAGUAGAACACCUGUUUAGGAGAGGUGCUGGCUAGGGGAGGAGAACACCUGUUUAGGAGAGGUGCUGGCUAGGGGAGUAGAACACCUGUUUAGGAGAGGUGCUGGCUAGGGGAGUAGAACACCUGUUUAGGAGAGGUGCUGGCUAGGGGAGGUGCUGGCUAGGGGAGUAGAACACCUGGAAAAGGGUGAUGAAGACAACUCCUCUGUGUAAAUGGUUAUUAAAUGAUCUGAGCAUCGGAGCUCCUAGAGUGUGUCUCUCAUUUCUCUCUUGUAGUAACAACACUGCUGUAGCUCUGUCAGGUUUGAGUGUGUCUCUCAUUUCUCUCUCGUAGUAACAACACUGCUGUAGCUCUCUCAGGUUUGAGUGUGGCUCUCAUUUCUCUCUUGUAGUAACAACACUGCUGUAGCUCUCUCAGGUUUUCCGAGGCCCUGAAGAGUUCUGGCCAAUCAGCCGUGUUUAUAGGGAAGCGUGCUGACAACACCCUGGAUCUGUCCAAUCAGCAGUGGCACAGCUCAGACAGAGAGGUCUUGUCUUCCUUUAAAAGAGGACUAGACUCUCACUCGUUCAGCGUUGUCCAGUUGUCUUCCUUCUCUGACCAUCUGAAGGCUAUGAUCUCUACUGACCAUCACUACCACACGGUAUAAAUCUGUCUACCUCUCUGUCUGUCAUAUCUACCACACGGUAUGAAUCUGUCUACCUCUCUGUCUGUCAUAUCUACCACUACCACACAGUAUGAAUCUGUCUUCCCUCUCUGUCUGUCAUAUCUACCACUACCACACAGUAUGAAUCUGUCUGCCUCUCUAUCUGUCAUAUCUAUCACUACCACACAGUAUGAAUCUGUCUGCCUCUCUAUCUGUCAUAUCUACC
ensembl:lncRNA